rnacentral:rRNA from 1 species
AACGCGAAGAACCUUACCUACUCUUGAAUCCACGGAAUCUUGCAGAAAUGUGAGAGUGCCUUCGGGAGCCGUGAGACAGGUGCUGCAUGGCUGUCGUCAGCUCGUGUCGUGAGAUGUUGGGUUAAGUCCCGUAACGAGCGCAACCCUUGUCCUUAGUUACCAGCGAGUAAAGUCGGGGACUUUAAGGAGACUGCCGGUGAUAAACCGGAGGAAGGUGGGGAUGACGUCAAGUCCUCAUGGCCCUUACGAGUAGGGCUACACACGUGCUACAAUGGCCGGUACAAAGGGUUGCCAACCCGCGAGGGGGAGCCAAUCUCAAAAAGCCGGUCGUAGUCCGGAUUGGAGUCUGCAACUCGACUCCAUGAAGCUGGAAUCGCUAGUAAUCGCGGAUCAGAACGCCGCGGUGAAUACGUUCCCGGGCCUUGUA